GCAGGGGUAGUUGAGUGGUAGAAUUCCCACCUUGCAUGCAGGAGACCUGGGUUCGAUUCCCAGCCAGUGUA
rnacentral:tRNA from 1 species